rnacentral:rRNA from 1 species
AGGACGAACGCUGGCGGCGUGCUUAACACAUGCAAGUGGAGCGACGAACCAGGGCUUGCCCUGGGGCAGAGCCGCGAACGGGUGAGUAACACGUGGGUUACCUGCCUUGAUGACCGGGACAACCCGAGGAAAACUCGGGCUAAUACCGGAUGUGCCCGCAAGGGGAAAGGAAGCUUCGGCCUCCGCAUCAAGAUGGGCCCGCGGCCCAUUAGCUUGUUGGUGAGGUAACGGCUCACCAAGGCUUCGAUGGGUAGCUGGUCUGAGAGGACGAUCAGCCACACUGGGACUGAGACACGGCCCAGACUCCUACGGAGGCAGCAGUGGGGAAUCUUGCGCAAUGCGCGAAAGCGUGACGCAGCAACGCCGCGUGGGGGAAGAAGGCUUUCGGGUUGUAAACCCCUUUCAGUUGGGACGAAGCUUCUUCGGUGAAUAGCCGAACGGAGUAGACGGUACCUUCAACAAGAAGCACCGGCUAACUACGUCGCCAGCAGCCGC